GUGAGGAAUAUUGGUCAAUGGGCGCGAGCCUGAACCAGCCAAGUAGCGUGAAGGAUGAAGGUCCUACGGAUUGUAAACUUCUUUUAUAAGGGAAUAAAGUCGCCUACGUGUAGGCGUUUGUAUGUACCUUAUGAAUAAGCAUCGGCUAACUCCGUGCCAGCAGCCGCGGUAAUACGGAGGAUGCGAGCGUUAUCCGGAUUUAUUGGGUUUAAAGGGAGCGUAGACGGAGGAUUAAGUCAGUUGUGAAAGUUUGCGGCUCAACCGUAAAAUUGCAGUUGAUACUGGUCCCCUUGAGUGCAGUUGAGGCAGGCGGAAUUCGUGGUGUAGCGGUGAAAUGCUUAGAUAUCACGAAGAACCCCGAUUGCGAAGGCAGCCUGCUAAGCUGUAACUGACGUUGAUGCUCGAAAGUGUGGGUAUCAAACAGGAUUAGAAACCCGAGUAGUCCC
rnacentral:rRNA from 1 species